rnacentral:lncRNA from 1 species
ACGUGUUUAUUAAAGAUAAAAACAUAGUAUACAGUAUAACUAGUUAGUCAAUACAUAAUAUAUUGACAGUCAGUACACACUACAAAAAAGACACAAGACAAUAAUAUUUAUAUGUUAUAUUAAGGAUACUCUUAUAUUGUUGUUGUCGUCGUCGAGGAUGAAGAAGCUCUUUUGGGGAAGUUAGAGGACCUCCUUUUUCCUUCUUUUUUGCUUCGAUUCAUUUAGGAGUGAUCUGACAAUUAAUUAGAAUCAGAUAAUCUCGUGUUUUUCUGGGAUCGUCAUAUGAAAAAGAAUGUUUAAUUUGCGAUACAGAUUCUUAUUUGUUAAAGGCUAUUAUCCUAUUUCGUUCAUUCUUGAAGAGAAAACAUCUCAUUAUAAACUAAUCCCUCGCGCGUCUGUACAUUUAUUGAUAAGUGCAAGACUCAGAGCUUAAUUGAAGAUCAACGUCGGAGUAAUACCUGCUUACAAAUGUCCUUGCUAGAUAUGGUUAUUUGUCAAUUUUUGGUUGUAAGGAAGAAUGUUAUUCGUCAAAUUUGUGCUUUCUACAAAAUCCCAUCACCCCAAAGAAAAAUCCUAGUAGCGGCCAUAGUAUGAAUUAAACUCGUUCGUAUGUGAAGGUAUUACUGUAAACUUCAACAGGAUAUAUACAUCUCAAGUUAUGUACAAUGUAGGAGGUAUGUAUAACCAUUAUAAAUAACAAUAAACAAGGCGGAUGAUGAAAUAAAGGAAUUAUAACCAAUCAGAAUGAACCAACAAAUAAAUACAUCAAUGUAUUUGAGUGUUGAGAGUUGGACCAAGACAUAAUUUUUUCAACGGCUCGGUCCAAACACCGAUCUCAGAAAGUAUACGGAAAUUCAAUCGUUCUCCCACUAGUGGACUUUAUUUUUUAGUCUCAAUCUAUUGAGAGAUUUUAUCCUUCCCCCUGUCUAGGAUUUUCAAACUGAAACCCUAUGUAACAAAUAAAUUACAUUUUAAUAUAGAUAGAUACUCCUCUAGCGAUGAAGUUUGCUUAAGGUAUAAUAAGGUAGUAGCAGCAAUGGUACCGUUGUAGUACCUGGUGGUAGUGACCUUGGGGGAUAUAUCUCUGGAAUGGAUUGUGAUUUACGUAUAAUAUACCUAUGUAUACAAGUUGCAACUUGUAUACAUAGGUAUAUUAUACAAAUUGUACCAUAAAUGGAGUAUUUCGCAAAGAAAAAAUGCAAAAUCCUUCUUUUUUUUUUAAAGUAAUGUGUAGACUCAAAAAAACAAUUAUGGACUCGGUUUGACUCGAUUUAAAUGGUGGAUAAUUUAUCAAAUUCGAACAAACAUAUUUUAUUGAGUAGGUGGGAUUUUUAUUACUACAACUCAUGAAAUAUGUAGAGUUUUGUGGCCCUCCUGCCACUGAGUGAUUUAAUAAUACCAGGGGUCCAUUUAAAUCUGAACACUGACUAAUUCAAUGAUUAAUUAAGGUUGAGUGAUUAAAAUUAAUUAAUACUUCCAUAUAUUAGUAACAAAAUAUAUAAACCUGAGCAUGCUAA